rnacentral:ncRNA from 1 species
CGGAACCUCUUCCAACUCAGAACUUGUCAACUGCGUAAGACUGGAAUGGGGGGCAGUGCGUAAGGUGCUGUUCCGAGACCCGAACAAGGGAGACUGGAGUUAAGGUCCCAAAAUGUAUGCUAAGUGUAACAAACUUAGUUGAAAACCUAAGACAGCGAGGAUGUAGGCUCAGAAGCAGCCAUCAUUUAAAGAAAGCGUAACAGCUCACUUGUUGAGGUUUUUGGCGAGGAAAAUGGACGGGGCUAAACAUACUACCGAUACUCUGGCGGCUCUCGAAAGAGAGUUCGGGUAAGCAGGCGUGGAUUCUGCGCAGAAGUUUUCUCGAAAGAGUGGAUGGAGCGGGAUCCAAUGAGAAUCUUGGUGGUAGUAAGAUCAGAUUGCUCUGAGAAUGAGCAGCGCCGUAAGAGCAAGGUUUCCUUGGCACUAUCGUUUAACCAAGGGUUAGUCGGCGCCUAAGCUAUAUCUUAACUGCGUAUAGCGAAUGGACAUCCGGUUAAUAUUCCGGAACUGACUAAGUUCUGUACGUAAUUUGCUUCGGGAUAGGCAGGUACUCGGAAGGGUGCCUCGUUGCAGAAGACUGUGGAUCGUAAUGAUAAGAAGCAGUCGAAUGUAAAGGGAGAAAUCUGUUGAUUCCUGGGGUCCAUGAAAAGUUGCGUAUGUAAAACUUAGUUAGCCGUACCCAGAACCGACACUGGUGCUCUGGCUGAGAAGGCUAAGGCGUGAAAGGAUAACCUGACUUAGGGAACUCGGCAAUCUAGCCCCGUAUCUUCGGUAUAAGGGGUGUCUAUGAACGUCUUUGAAUUAAAGGGCGUUUGUAGAUCGCAGUGACAAGGACUGCCCGACUGUUUAACAAAAACGUAGCUGGUUGCAAAUCCAAAAGGACUAGUAUAACCGGUGAGACCUGCCCAGUAGUGGUGUUUCAAACCCUAGUUCAAUAGGGCUAAGACCCAUCAAACGGCGGGCCUAACUAUGAGGCUUGAGCUUGUGGUGAAAAUCCACUAAGCUUAAUUAUGUUAAAUAGAUUAAACCAAAAUAGAGGGCCUCAAUAAAUUCAGCUAUAUGCUGGAAUAGCAUGAUGAAAUCAUGAUAGGAAGUUAUCGUCGUGAGAUGAUAAUGAUUACUGAAAAUUUAUGAUGAAGUGCCAAUCAGCAGGAAAGACUUCUUAAGAUUUAAGAAGAAUCCUCAGAGACUAUACGCUGAACACAGAUUAGAAGUAAUUUGUGAUGAUAUAGUCCAACAAAUAAUUUUAUUUGUGCUUAAGGUAGCGUAAUGCCUUGUCGUCUGAAUGGCGACGUGCAUGAAUGGUUUAACGAGGUAGUCGCUGUCCCAAGUCAGAACCUUCUGAACACACUUGAUGGUGAACAUGCCAUCGUCGCCUAGUGGGAAGUGAAGACCUUGUGGACCUUUACUGCAACUUGUUGUUGUGAUGCCGAGGGAAGUGCAUAGAAUAAGUAGGAGCAUCGAAGCCAUUCCUCCGGGAAUGGUGGAGCAAAAGUGUAAUACUACUCAUUUUUCUUGACAUUGCUCACUCGAGAGAGGACAGCAGCAGGCGGGCAGUUUGGCUGGGGUGGCACCCUGCAGAAAAGAUAUCUGUAGGGCCUAACGACAAGCUCAUCCAGGUUGGAAAUCUGGAGUGGAGUGCGAGGGCAAAAGCUUGUCUGACUGUAUCUUGCACAGCAAGGGAUGCAGGAGUGAAAGCUGGGCCUAGCGACCCCACAUGCUCUUUUAAUAGGAGCUGUGUGUGACAGAAAAGGUACCCCAAGGAUAAUUGGCUGGUCGCCCCCGAUAGUCCAUAUUGACGGGGCGGUUUGGUGCGUCGCUGUCGGCUCUUCCUAUCCUGGUAGUGCACAAGCUACCAAGGGUGUCGGAGUUCACGCGUUAAAAGGGAUCGUUAGCUGGGUUAAGAACGUCAAAGGAUUAAGCUAACGGUUUUACCAAAUCGCAGACUAUCAAAAAUGCGGCGUUGCAUGCGAGAGAUCGCAUGAAAAAUAAAAUUGGCUAUAUCGGUGAAGCCUUUCUGGAUUUUAACUGUAACCAGGAUGGUAAUACCGAGGGAAGUCGUAAUUGACCCCGUAGAGACUUAGAUUUUCUUAAUUGAUAGGCAUCCGUCAGAUGCUGAUAAAAUCUGGACUUGCUGAUAGAGCAGGUAAUACGCCAAUCUCCUAUCUCGAAAGAGAAGGAUGAAGGUAUAGUCCAUACAUUGUAAAUACAUAAGCAAUGAGAAUAUACGCGAGACAGUUUGUAUAAUAUCUACUAGGCGCGUUGUGGUCUGAGUGGAACGAUGAUCUAGUACGAGAGGAACGAUCAUUGGGUGCCUCUGGUGAGCGGUUGUUAUGAGCAGGCCGCGCAGCUACGCACUGUAUGGAUAAGUGCUGAAAGCAUCUAAGCACGAAGCCAUCCGCAAGACGAGACCACUGAGGCCGUCGUAGAAGACGACGUUGAUAGAGCUGGUGUGUAAGAACCGAGGUAACGAGGUUUUAAGCGCGCAGCUACUAAUAGCCUUAUUGAUUCAGAUG